ACAGCUCAGAUUCCACCUCCUUUUGUGGGCAGUGUGCACAUAGCCUGUCUUCUCUUGAGAGCCAGGUCUGUCUGUGGCGGCCCCUCUCGAUAGCAAGGCCGUGCUCACCGAGUUUGUACGUGGUCGCAGAAAGAAGAACAAGCUCCAGAUGGCUGUGUGGGAGGUGUCGUCCAUGGUCACAAGGCACUUGGAGAAGUCAGAGAGGCGCUUCUUCGAGGAGGAGUUGAGGUGGUCCCAGAAAGAAGAACAAGCUCCAUAUGGCUGUGAGGGAGGUGUCGUCCAUGGUCAAAACACAUUUGGAGGAGUCCGAGAGGCACUUCAAGGAGGAGUUGAAGUGGGACGCUGAAUGAAAAGCAUGAAAAAAGAGAAACCUAACAACCGACUUACAGAAUUCACAGAGGGAGAAGCUAAUGCAGAUGGGCACCAUAUAGGCUAACAUGUUGAAAUAUCUUUCAACAGCCAACACAACUUCAACCACCUUCUAUGUACAGGUGCUAUUUACCUUCCCCAGGGCUGCCGCUUCACUCAGCCACCACCCAUUUCAAUUACCAACUAUAUGUAAAAAUGUAUGCACCAAAGGCUAAGUCGCUUUGGAUAAAAGUGUUUGCUAAAAAGUAUAUUUCUUUCUAAGCCGAGGGGUUCUUCAAACUCUAUGAAUUUUUUUUAAACGGUCAUACCAAGGAUCAUUUUGCUCAUUGUUUUUGAAUUUUAAGACCCCUUGAAGGAUCCCAAAAAUAUGCAAAAAGUUUUAGGAAAUUUUUUAUUUUGCCUUGGUGCUAUUGGCCCAUACAAACACAUUGAAUAACAGACUCAUGACAUGGAACAACGGAUAGUCCCCACCCCCAAAGGACGUUUGUUCUGAAGUCUGUUUUAAAUUAUUAUUAUUUUUUUUACAUGUAUUUAACCCCUUUUUUGGCACAAAACAGUCUCCAUAUAUAGGGUACUAGGGGGUAAUUAGCCCCCACUAAGAACAAUGUCUAAUUGCUGACACCAAAAAGCAACAUUUGGGAUUUU